rnacentral:rRNA from 1 species
GACGAACGCUGGCGGCGUGCUUAACACAUGCGAGUCGAACGGAAAGGCCCUUCGGGGUACUCGAGUGGCGAACGGGUGAGUAACACGUGGGUGAUCUGCCCUGCACUUUGGGAUAAGCCUGGGAAACUGGGUCUAAUACCGAAUAGGACCACGCGCUUCAUGGUGUGUGGUGGAAAGCUUUUGCGGUGUGGGAUGGGCCCGCGGCCUAUCAGCUUGUUGGUGGGGUAAUGGCCUACCAAGGCGACGACGGGUAGCCGGCCUGAGAGGGUGACCGGCCACACUGGGACUGAGAUACGGCCCAGACUCCUACGGGAGGCAGCAGUGGGGAAUAUUGCACAAUGGGCGCAAGCCUGAUGCAGCGACGCCGCGUGAGGGAUGACGGCCUUCGGGUUGUAAUCCUCUUUCAAUAGGGACGAAGCGCAAGUGACGGUACCUAUAGAAGAAGCACCGGCCAACUACGUG